AUUGAACGCUGGCGGCAUGCUUUACACAUGCAAGUCGAACGGCAGCGCGGGCUUCGGCCUGGCGGCGAGUGGCGAACGGGUGAGUAAUGCAUCGGAACGUGCCCAGUAGUGGGGGAUAGCGUGGCGAAAGCCGGGUUAAUACCGCAUACGACCUGAGGGUGAAAGUGGGGGACCGAAAGGCCUCGCGCUAUUGGAGCGGCCGAUGUCGGAUUAGCUAGUUGGUGGGGUAAAGGCUUACCAAGGCGACGAUCCGUAACUGGUCUGAGAGGACGACCAGCCACACUGGAACUGAGACACGGCCCAGACUCCUACGGGAGGCAGCAGUGGGGAAUUUUGGACAAUGGGGGAAAGCCUGAUCCAGCCAUGCCGCGUGCGGGAAGAAGGCCUUCGGGUUGUAAAGCGCUUUUGUUCGGGAAGAAGUCCACUGAGCUAAUACCUCGGGGUGAUGACGGUACCGGAAGAAUAAGCACCGGCUAACUACGUG
rnacentral:rRNA from 1 species